rnacentral:rRNA from 1 species
GAUGAACGCUGGCGGCGUGCCUAAUACAUGCAAGUCGAACGGGUUACUUUUAGCAAUAAGAGUAGCUAGUGGCGAACGGGUGAGUAACACGUGGAUGACCUGCCCCGAAGCGGGGGAUAACGGCUCGAAAGGGCUGCUAAUACCCCAUGUGGUUCUAUUGGUUAGAGAGAUAGAACUAAAGGAGCAAUUCGUUUCGGGAGGGAUCUGCGUCCCAUCAGCUAGUUGGUGAGGUAACGGCCCACCAAGGCGACGACGGGUAGGGGGCCUGAGAGGGUGGCCCCCCACAAUGGAACUGAAACACGGUCCAUACACCUACGGGUGGCAGCAGUAGGGAAUAUUGCACAAUGGGCGCAAGCCUGAUGCAGCAACGCCGCGUGCGCGAUGAAGGUCUUCGGAUCGUAAAGCGCUUUUCGGGGAGAAGAGGAAGGACGGUACCCCCGGAAUAAGUCUCGGCUAACUACGUGCCAGCAGCCGCGGUAAAACGUAGGAGGCAAGCGUUAUCCGAAUUCACUGGGCGUAAAGCGCGUGCAGGCGGUUCGGUAAGUUGGAUGUGAAAUCUCCCGGCUCAACUGGGAGAGGUCGUUCAAGACUGUCGGACUCGAGGAUGGUAGAGGAAGGUGGAAUUCCCGGUGUAGUAGUGAAAUGCGUAGAUAUCGGGAGGAACACCUGUGGCGAAAGCGGCCUUCUGGACCAUACCUGACGCUCAGACGCGAAAGCUAGGGGAGCGAACGGGAUUAGAAACCCCGGUAGUCCUAGCCGUAAACGAUGUGAACUGGGUGUUGGCGGGGUAAAAGCCGUCAGCGCCGAAGCCAACGCGAUAAGUUCACCGCCUGGGGACUACGGCCGCAAGGUUAA